rnacentral:rRNA from 1 species
UACAGAGGGGGCAAGCGUUGUUCGGAAUUACUGGGCGUAAAGGGCGCGUAGGCGGCCCGCUAAGUCGAACGUGAAAUCCCCAGGCUCAACCUGGGAACUGCGUCCGAUACUGGCAGGCUUGAAUCCGGGAGAGGGAUGUGGAAUUCCAGGUGUAGCGGUGAAAUGCGUAGAUAUCUGGAGGAACACCGGUGGCGAAGGCGACAUCCCGGACCGGUAUUGACGCUGAGGCGCGAAAGCCAGGGGAGCAAACGGG